rnacentral:rRNA from 1 species
UACGAAGGGUGCAAGCGUUACUCGGAAUUACUGGGCGUAAAGCGUGCGUAGGUGGUUUGUUAAGUCUGAUGUGAAAGCCCUGGGCUCAACCUGGGAAUUGCAUUGGAUACUGGCAGGCUAGAGUACGGUAGAGGGGGAUGGAAUUCCGCGUGUAGCAGUGAAAUGCGUAGAGAUGCGGAGGAACACCGAUGGCGAAGGCAGCCCCCUGGGCCAACACUGACGCUCAGGCACGAAAGCGUGGGGAGCAAACAGG